AAACAAAUGAUGAUAAAAUGUCACUGAAAGUUGGACUCAAUCUAUUUUUGAGAGGGAUCGACUUAAAAGGAUGUUCGCUGCUUGCGAGGCAUUUGUCUGAUGAAUGA